GAUGAACGCUAGCGGCAGGCUUAAUACAUGCAAGUCGAACGGCAGCAUGCACUUCGGUGUGAUGGCGAGUGGCGCACGGGUGAGUAACGCGUACGGAAUCUGCCCUUAACAGGGGGAAAGUCGCUGGAAACGGCGAAUAAUCCCGCAUAACACUAUUUUCUCGCAUGGGAGAAUAGUCAAAGCUUCGGCGGUUAAGGAUGAUCGUGCGUUCCAUUAGAUAGUUGGUGAGGUAACGGCUCACCAAGUCAACGAUGGGUAGGGGGCGUGAGAGCGUGAUCCCCCACACGGGUACUGAGACACGGACCCGACUCCUACGGGAGGCAGCAGUAAGGAAUAUUGGUCAAUGGAGGAAACUCUGAACCAGCCAUGCCGCGUGUGUGAUGAAGGCCCUAUGGGUUGUAAAGCACUUUUGUAUAGGAAGAAUGACAGGGAUUUAUCCCUGGAGAGACGGUACUAUAAGAAUAAGCACCGGCUAACUCCG
rnacentral:rRNA from 1 species